AUCCGAGGCUGUGCACCGAAGGAGCCGUCUCCAUCGCGCGUGCAGGCGCGUCCGUGUCGAGCGCGCAGUUCUGCGUCGAUGUAAUUUGGAGGAUGUGAACAUUCCCAAUUCCAUAAACAGCGUCAUGGCAGCUGAUGUUCCUUUGAUUUCGGUUUCCUUUUGCCUGGUGAUUUAAUCGGUCUCGCUGGAGCUGGAGGACUGGAGCCGCGGGCGCUGCCGAUUCACGAUCCGGUCAAACAACAAGGCCACAUCGUUGUUGCAUCGGUAGGAGCGAUCGCUUGUCUGCCAUUAACCGCUGCUAUCUGAUUCCGCUCAUGAAGGAGCACGCAUGGGGCGAGGUCCUCGGUUGUCUCCUUCAGACCCCGCGUAUAGAUUGCUCGAUUGGAGAGCAGAAAGUGCUGAUAACGUGUUAGAGUAAAACAGUAAAACGAGAUUGAAUGAAAGUGAAUGGACGAUUAGUCCUGAUUUCUAUUCA